CUAAAAAUGGCUGGGUUAUUUUUUAACCCAAAAUGCUGGGUUGAGUCUGUUGGGUUGUUUUGCUGGGUUAAUUUUUAACAUUUUAAACACUUUUUGGGUAGUUUCAGUUUUCUGGUUGUUGGGUUAAAACUGCUGGGUUAUUAUGCGGGGUUGUUUGAAGAGGAUCACGUGCUUCGCGCCUUUGAUGUUUGAAUGUGCUCAGCAACGGUCGUCGUGAAAGGACAGAGUCACUGGAAGCAGUUGUUUCAAGAGUGUGCAGAGUUUUUAUGUCCAUCCAUUAAUGAGGCUAGCAAGACCUUCAUACAACUUCAGCCAAUUGCAACAAAUUUGGUGGAAGUUCUUCUCUGGACAGAAUCCUCGAAAUCCUUUCCUUUAUUUCCUGGCCAUGGGAAACAUGCAACAGAUCUCUCAAUUUUUUUUCUCUAUCAGUCUCUCUGAUGGAGGCAAUACGGAAGUGACUUAAACUGCAAUUCGGCCAAGAUGGCGACGGCACGCACCGCCUACUUUAGGCUUCAAAAAUGCUCUUCACAACCAAUGGGUGACAUCACGGACACUACUUUCAUAUUUUUUUACAGUCUAUGGUUUAAAGGCAUUUUACAUGCUUGAAAAUAAAUACCCCAGGCAAUGUGCAUAACUGUAGUCUGUCAUUUUCCAAAUGGAUGAAUCCUCUGCUGCUCGGUUCCUUUGUACAUCUUUGUUCGUGAGGAGUAACUUUAAUAAAUGAAGUAUUUUUAGUCAAAUACAUUCCAUACUCUGAAACUUGGAACAUCUGUUCUGUAAAAAACUUUACACAUCUGUAAAUGAUUUUACUUUUAAUUUAACAAUUACAUUGUUUAUUUUCUUAUACUGCUGCA